rnacentral:rRNA from 1 species
UACGUAGGGUCCGAGCGUUGUCCGGAAUUACUGGGCGUAAAGAGCUCGUAGGUGGUUUGUCGCGUUGUUCGUGAAAACUCACAGCUCAACUGUGGGCGUGCGGGCGAUACGGGCAGACUAGAGUACUGCAGGGGAGACUGGAAUUCCUGGUGUAGCGGUGAAAUGCGCAGAUAUCAGGAGGAACACCGAUGGCGAAGGCAGAUCUCUGGGCCGUAACUGACGCUGAGGAGCGAAAGCAUGGGGAGCGAACAGG